GCCAGCAUGGUUUAGUGGUUUGAGAGCAGGACUUGGACUCUGGAGAUCUGGGUUCAAUCCCCCCCUUGGCC